GAUGAACGCUAGCGGCAGGCCUAAUACAUGCAAGUCGUACGGCAGCACAGUUGCGAGCAAUCGCAACCGGUGGCGAGUGGCGCACGGGUGAGUAACGCGUAUGUAACCUACCCUUCUCCAGGACAUAACUCCGCGAAAGCGGUGCUAAUAUCCCAUAUCAACACUUGAAGACAUCUUCUUGUGUUGAAAGUAGCAAUGCGGUGAAGGAUGGGCAUGCGUCCCAUUAGCUGGUUGGUGAGGUAAUGGCCCACCAAGGCUACGAUGGGUAGGGUUCUGAGAGGAAAGUCCCCCACACUGGUACUGAGACACGGACCAGACUCCUACGGGAGCAGCAGUAAGGAAUAUUGGUAAUGCGCGAAAGCGUGAACCAGCAACGCCGCGUGUGCGAUGAAGGCCCUUGGGUUGUAAAGCACUUUUCGGGAGGAAGAGGAAGGACUGUACUCCCAGAAUAAGCCUCGGCUAACACGUGCCAGCAGCCGCGGUAA
rnacentral:rRNA from 1 species